rnacentral:misc_RNA from 1 species
UACCAUUAGGAUUAAAUUAAAAGAUUUCUAUCAUCUCUAAUCAUGUAUGCAUCAGUUCGAAUUGAAAUAACUCUUCUCCAAAAGUCUAAACUGGCCUAUUUUCCAAAAACUGAUAUCACGAUGCGCCUCUUAAACAAGUCAAAUGCUUAAGUGAGUUACAAGAAACUGCAUAUCUGGUACGUAUCAAGCGCAAAGGCAGAAGAAAGUGUGAUCUACUUCUUUUUCUUUGAUUUGUUUGACGAUGACCGAGAAUAAGCAGUACCCUCAAGCCAUUCGUCUAAUGAAGCAUCUGAGGCCUUGGUUCCAACUUCAACUUUAGGAGCCCUCUUGGUUUUCUUGGAAAGAUUCUG